CCGAUCACGGCAGUUAAGCUCCUCUGCGCCGAUGGUACUGCCAGGGCGACUUGGUGGGAGAGUAGGCCGCCGCCGAAU
rnacentral:rRNA from 1 species